rnacentral:lncRNA from 1 species
UCGCCUCUGGUGGAAGUUUCAAUCUAUAGGCCACCUCUCCUAUCUCUUCAAUGAUUGUGUAAGGCCCGUAGAAUUUUGGUGCCAGCUUUUCACACCUUUUCCGAGCUAAGGAUCUCUGCCUAUAAGGUCUGAGCUUUAGGUAUACUUCAUCACCCACCUUGAACUUCAAUUCCCUUCUUUUGGUGUCUGCCCAUUUCUUCAUGCGGUUUUGGGCUAAGUGAAGAUUCUCCUUCAAGGCGUUCAAUGCCAGAUCUCUCUCCUUGAGCAUUAUUUCUACCUCAUCAUUCUGAGUUUUUCGGGUUCCGUAGGAUAGAAUCGGGGGUGGUUGCCUUCCAUAUACAAUCUUGAAAGGGUUGGAACGUAUGGAUGAAUGGAAAGUAGUGUUAUACCACAGUUCAGCCCAUGGAAUGAACUUAUGCCACCUUUGAGGUUGCUCAUUGCAAAAGCAUCUCAAGUAUGUCUCCAGACAUUGGUUUACCCUUUCCGUUUGUCCAUCUGUUUGUGGGUGGAACGCCGUGCUUCUUUUCAGUUUAGUUCCCAUAGUUGUAAAUAACUCCUUCCAAAAAUGACUAAUGAAAACUUUAUCCCUGUCGGAUACUAUGGAUUUUGGAACCCCAUGCUUGCUGAUGAUCUUUUCAAUGAAUGUCGUCGCCACUUGUUUAGCUGUGAAAGGGUGCUUCAUAGUGAUGAAAUAAGCAUACUUGCUCAAUCUGUCUACCACCACCAUUAUCACAUUCAUUCCCCCUGCCUUCGGUAACCCUUCUAUGAAAUCCAUUGACCAUUCUUCUAGUAUGGCUUCCGGAGCAGGAAGUGGAUGUAAUACUCCUGCUGGUUUCGUGGCCUCAUAUUUGUUCCUUUGACAAAUCUCACACUGUUCCACAUAUUUCUUUAUAUCAGCCUUCAUUCCCUCCCAGUACAGCUCUCCGCUCAUCCUUUUAUAUGUCCUCAAGAAUCCCGAGUGUCCUCCCAAGAUGGAGUCAUGGAAUGUAUGCAGCAAUGUGGGGAUCACUGACGACUUCUUUGAUAAUACCACUCUCUUCUUGUAGAACAGUUUCCCAUUCUCCCAGCUAAAUUUGCUAAUUCCCUCUGGAUUCUGUUUCAAUUCUUUAAUGGUUUUCUGUAAUUCCUCAUCUUGGUUGACUUCCUUGUCUAUCACUUCCAUGUCUACAAUGCCAGUUGUCGUCAAGGAGUUUACUUCCAGCGGAUAUUCCAUCCUAGAAAGGGCAUCUGCUGCUUUGUUUUGUAAUCCAGGUUGGUAUAAUAUUUCAAAAUCGUAUCCCAGCAGUUUGGUCAGCCAUUUCUGAAAUUGGGGUUGUACUUCCCUCUGUUCUAGGAGAAAUUUCAAUGCCUUUUGAUCUGAGAUAAUUGUAAACUUCCUUCCUAAUAGAUAAUGACGCCAUUUCUGCACUGAUAAUACUACAGCCAUCAGUUCUCUUUCGUAAAUGGACUUGGCCUGAGCUCGUGUCGACAAUUUCUGGCUGAAGAAGGCUAUGGGGUGACCAUUCUGUGAAAGUACAGCUCCCAAUCCUGUCCCUGAAGCAUCUGUUUCGAUUAAAAAAGGUAGAUCCCAAUUCGGCAGUGCUAGCACCGGGAUAGUAGUCAUGGCCAUCUUUAAUUUUUCAAAAGCCUCGGUUGCUUGUUCAUCCCACGCAAAAGAAUUCUUUUGCAACAAUCUGGUCAAGGGGGCUGCAAUUUCUCCGUAUCCUUUCACAAACCUACGAUAAUAGCCCGAUAAUCCCAGAAAUCCUCUCAGACCCGUGACAUCUUUCGGCUGAGGCCAUUUCACCAUGUCUUUGAUCUUCUCCUCAUCAGCCUGUACUCCUUUACUCGAAAUUAUAUGCCCCAAAUAUUGGAUUUUGGAGUGAGCUAUGACACACUUCUUCUUAUUUGCAAAUAGAUGGUUAUCCCUCAACACUGCAAAUACCAUCCCUAGAUGUUUCUCAUGUUCUGAUAUAUCCUUGCUAUAUACAAGUAUAUCAUCGAAGAAUACCAAUACACACCUUCUUAAAAAAGGUUUGAAUACCUGAUUCAUCAAGGACUGGAAGGUGGCUGGUGCGUUUGUAAGACCGAAGGGCAUUACCAGAAAUUCAUAGUGACCCUCAUGUGUUCUGAACGCGGUCUUCUCAACAUCUUCCUUCUGCAUCCUUAUUUGAUGGUAACCGGACUUCAGAUCUAGUUUUGAGAAAACCGUGGCUCCAUGUAAUUCAUCCAGCAGUUCUUCUAUCACUGGGAUAGGAAAUUUGUCCGAUAUGGUUACUUGGUUGAGUUUCCGGUAAUCUACACAAAAGCGCCACCCUCCAUCUUUCUUUUUGACCAAUAAAACAGGGCUGGAGUAAGGGCUAUGACUGGGACGUAUCACACCUGCUUGCAGCAUUUCCACCACCAAUUUCUCAAUUUCCUCCUUCUGUACAUAACCAUAUUUAUAUGGUCUGACAUUGAUGGGCCUUUGGUUCGGUAAAACCAAUAUACGGUGAUCUAUUUCUCUCUUAGGGGGUAAGUUUUUUGGAUCCUCAAAGAUGUCUGCAUACUGUUGUAACAGAUUUUUAAUCAUUGGAAUCUCUUCCUCGUCCCCUUUCAUUUCCUGCUUCGCUUCCACAUCUGUGUCUACUUCAUACUUUUGGAAUUCCAACAGAAAACCCUGAUCUUCAUUUUCCCACGUUUUCUCAAUGGUUUUCAGGGAACAUUCUGCUUGGAUGAGGGAUGGGUCUCCUUUCAAGAUAAUUUUCUGUUUGCCUGACCAAAAGGACAUUGUUAGAGAUGGCCAAUGUAUCUUCAUGGUGCCUGUUGUAUCCAGCCACUGCAUACCCAAUAUUACAUCCACAUUUCCCAACUCAAUAGCAAAAAAAUCAGCCACCACCACAACCCCUUGUAGUUCCAAUUCCACUCUCUUGCAAACACCCUUGCCUGUACACUUGGUGCCAUCUCCAAUUGUAACUGCAAACGGGUUACCUUUUUCCAGAUAUAAGUUCUUUUCCUUUACUGUCCGGUUAUGUAUAAAAUUAUGGGUUGCUCCACUAUCAAUCAGCACUAUCACUCCUUUGCCCUUUAUAUUUCCCUUCAGCUUCAUCGUUCCCUUCGAUGCCAUCCCAUGGAUUGUCUUCAAUUCUAUUUCCUCUCCUUCAGCAAAAUCCAGAUGGUUUAAUUCCACUGUUUCCCCUGGUUCCUCUUCCAUCUUGCCUUCCUCUUCCUUGCUCUCCUCUUCAUUCAUGAUAAAUAACAUCAGCUCCCUUUUUUCCUUCACUCUACAUCUGUGCCCUGGUGUAUAUUUCUCAUUGCAUUUAAAACAUAGGCCCUUAUCCAAUCUGGACCUGAAUUCUGCGUCUGAAAGUCGUUUGAUAGGAGGUUCACUUUUUUGAUAACUACCCUUAAUAGGUAUAGUUACUUGUUUUAUGGGGAAAUCUGUCCUCCUCAUGUAGCCUUUGUCUGUUCCAUCUUGGAUUUUUCCUGCAUACUCUUCUUUUUUCUUUGGUUCCACUGUCCUGCCCUCGGUCUUAGUCAAUUUCAUUGCUACAUUCCGAUCAUUGACUAGUUGAGCCUCCCUCAUACAAUCUUCCAAUGUUCGAGGGAAACGACUAACGACUUCUGCCUGAAGAUUGGGUUCCAGACCGGUCAGAAAAGCAUCUCGUAACACACUUUCCUCCAUGUGAGGGAGGGGAGCUGAAUAUGUGACAAAUUUCUUCACAUACUCACUGUAGGAUCCAUCUUGUUGAAUCCUAAUCAAGCGUGCCACUAGACUUGUUUGCCCUGAGUCCUUGAAGAAAUCAAACAUCCUCCCUUUCAAAUCUUCCCAUGACUCUACUUUCUUCCUAUUAUGCGUCCACCUGUACCAGUCCACUUCCUCUUGCCCAAAACUGACCACCGCCACUCUGAUCUUCUCGUUUUCUGGCAGGUUGUUCAUCUCAAAGAAAUGUUCUGCUCUAUAUACCCAGGAUUCUGGAUUUUCACCUAAGAACAUAGGCAUUUCUAACUUUGCGUACUUACUUCGAUCCACAUUAUUUCCAUUUACCUCAUUACAGACUUCCGAUUCUUCUACUUUUCCUUUCAACUUCAUGCUGGAUCCAUCAGAUGUUCCGGAUUCAUCUCUUUUCUUAUAGCUAUGAUUCUCUCUUAGUUCCUCUGUCAGUCUUUCCAUAGAUUUCUUCAUUUCCAGUAGCAUUUCUUUCAUGCUCAGCAGCUCCUUCUCGGUUCCUUCCAUUCGUUCCUCCAUUUGUCUUUGUGCCAUGCGACGCGUAACAACACCCUUUUUUUUUUUUUUUUUUUUUUUUGUUGUUGUUAGGCUCUGAUACCAAAUGUCAGGAUUCUAACCCACUUUCUAAUAAAACACCCAACAAUGGCGAAACAGAGACAGCACCCUGUGAUUCUUUAUUUAUGUAUAUAGCCAAAAGAUACAGCUACAAUAUGAAAUGAAAACGAGAACAGUAAAUAACAGGAACAUACCAGCAUCCUUUACAAGAAGGAUACCCCCUCCCCUUUGCGACUGCUGCCGCCUCUCUUUUCCCUAAGGUUAACAAAAAGGAUACCUAUCCCUAUUUCCCAAUCAUUCUAUUUAUACUCACCCUCAAAUUCCUACCCAGUGGGACCCACCUGCACAUUCUCUUACUUCCCACUCAUUCUCUCUCAUUACUUGUUGGUGAAUUUCCCUUCUUACCCUUCCUAACAUACGUAUGUAUGAUUGGGGGUCUCACAGUUUCACUCAUGUUCCACAGAGCAAGCGUGACAAGCUUGAUAGGAGAGCUUCACCGGGUAUCUUUAUAGGCUAUAGUACUAUUAGCAAUGCCUAUAAAAUUUUCCAACCACAAACUGGAAAGAUUGUCGUGAGCAGGGAUGUUCACUUCGUGGAGGAUGAAGAGUGGAACCUAGAUGAUGUAUAAAAGAAAGAUCAAACCUUGGAGAAGCUUAAAUUCAAGUUUUUUUAUUCAAGCAUUAAAGAGGAAGAUGACUGGCAGAGUGAAAUAGUAGAUGAUGCUUCCGUGAGAGGAACAAGGUUGCUUUCUAAUAUUUAUGAAAGGUGCAAUGUUGUUGUGUGCGAACCAGCCAACUAUGCAGAAGCAAAGAAAGAUCAAAGGUGAGUUGGCUUAAUGGACAAGGAGUUGUCAAUGAUAAAGAAGAACAAAACUUAGAUCCUUGUUGAUAAACCUCAAGACGGAAAGGUAAUUGGAGUUAAAUGGGUGUUUAGAACCAAGCUUAAUGUUGAUGGCUCGAUUAACAAGCAUAAAGCCAGGCUUGUGGUUAGAGGGUAUGUUCAAGUCUUUGGUGUUGAUUACUCUGACACUUUUGCUCCUAUUGCUAGAAUGAACACAAUUAGGUUACUAUUUGCAACAGCUGCAUGAAAGGACUAGAAAUUGUUUCAAUUGGACGUCAAAUCGGCUUUUUUAAAUGAUAUCUUAUAAAAAGAAAUUUAUGUUGAGCAGCCUGAAGGAUGUGAGAAGCAAGAUGAAGGAAAUAAAGUUUUAUCUUCUCAAGAAGACUCUUUAUGAUCUAAAACAAGCUCCAAGAGCUUGGUAUAGCAAAAUUGAUGAACAUUUACUGAGUUUGGGAUUUUUGAAAAGUUUAUCAGAAACAACCUUAUAUGUCAAGCACAAUAGUACUGGCAUUCUUAUUGUUUCACUGUAUGUUGAUGAUCUACUGGUUAAAGGAGACAAUGCAUAUCAUAUUCAAAAUUUCAAAUGGGAGAUGAUGAAGAUGUUUGAAAUGACAGAUCUCGAGCUCAUGUCCUACUUCCUUAGCAUAGAGAUCAAGCAAGGGCAAGGUGAAGUUUUCAUCUGCCAGAAAAAAUAUGCAAAGGAAAUACUAAAGAAGUUUAAGAUAGACGAGUGUAAGGCAGUAAGCACUCUAAUAAAUCAAAAAGAGAAGUUGUGCAAAGAAGAUGGUGCUGAUAAAGUUGAAAACGGAUAUUUCAAGAGUUUAAUUGGUUGCUUGAUGUAUUUCACAACAACAAGGCCUGAUAUGUUGAAUGUUGCGAGUAUUUUGUCUCAUUUCAUGCAUUAUGUUUUAUAAAGCUGCUAUUGCUAUUUCUCAUAAUCUUUAUGUUUUAUAAAAAGACUAAACAUUUUAACAUCAAGUUAUUCUUCCCAAGGAAAGUGCAGGAAAGUGGAGAGAUGACCCUUGUCUACUGCAAAACAAAAGAUCAAGUUGCAGACAUUUUAACUAAAUUGUUGCCUACCUGCAAGUUCGAGUUUCUAGGGUCAAAACUUGGUGUUUGCAACUCCUAAAGCAAUGAGGAGCGUUAAGAAAAUGCUUUAGGACUGAAACAUGCUCACGUGUGUUUUUCUUGUCAAGUUGAUUCUGUCCAAGUUUGUUCAUGUUUCUUACAAAUUAGUUAUUUUAAUAUUCAUGAUUUGUAAUCAUGGAACAAGUUUAGAGUCACGUCGUUAGUGGGUAGUUAUUUUUAAGACUUUAAAUAUUGUAACUUUUUCUUGAAUGGAUCGUGAGUAUUUUGGUCUUCAAUUUGCUGUUCCAAUCUUUAUUUUAUUAGAAAAUAACAAUCUUACCCCAAAUCUUAACUAAAUUUUUUAUCUAUUUAAUAUAUUUAUGGAUCUCAAUUCAUCCCAGGCA